AGAAUCGGAAUAAUGUGUAGCUGGCCAUUUCAAAAUACAAAAUUUUGUUAGGUCUAAAAGAAUCUAGCUGUAGUUGUUGAAAAUAUAAAGCUGUAUUUCACCCCCAAAGGACAAGAGCCUAACUUAGGUUAAUUUUUUCCAUCGACGUUCUUGCAAGAAGAUACUAGAUGUGAGAAUAUAAAUUAAAAAAAGUGAUGAGUAUUUGAAAAAACCAAGAACAACAGGACAAAUAAAAUUAAAUUAACGGUACAUAUUUCUGAUUCCAUUUUAUUCAUGAGCAUUUUACUUUAUUCAGUUGUCCGUUGUUGUUAAUGUCAGUAGUGACUGCUUCAUUGAUCAUUGGAGCAUUUUUUAUGGAUGCAGGUACCCAACUAGGAAAAUUGGGGUACAAUUGAUGGAGGUCAUUGCAAUUCUAUGCUUGGAGGUAUAUGUGCUCUUCAAGAAAAGUCUAUGUAGUCCCCAUCCCUGCUAUCCAAGUGCUAUGGGGUGGACAGAAGAAUUCCCCUGCCCCAGGGACUCUAGAACAGACUGGAAAUCCCCGAGUACUUGAACGGAGAAGCUCCUGGAGUACAAACCUCUCCGAGUCAAGGAUCACAAAAGUUUCAAGAUAACAAAUAACAAUACAUUAUGAUCUAUGCUAAAUUUUGUUCGUCUUGACUUUUCUUUCUUGGCGCUUGACAUGCUGAAUAUUUUAUAAAUGUCGUUAAGUUAAGUAUCAUUUUUACUCAACUUAAUUGAACGCACAGAGGAUGGUACUCCUAUGUACACCAACACUCCCAAAAGAAGGUGAUAGAAGGGGAAGGAGGUUGUGAAUUCUCAGCAACAUACUUGCGAAAUUGCAAAACUAUGCAACUUCAAUUGAAUUUUACAUUUUAGAUUUGAACAUUUUGUAGCCCGAGUACAAGUCAUUUGGAGUACUAUUUUUGCAAUUUUGUGAGAUGACAAAUAUUUCAUUAAGUUGGAUUAGUUAAAAGAAAUA